rnacentral:rRNA from 1 species
AACGUAGGUACCGAGCGUUAUCCGGAUUUACUGGGCGUAAAGCGCGUUCAGGCGGCUUGACAAGUCGGGCAUGAAAUCUCUCGGCUCAACCGGGAGGGGCUGUCCGAUACUGUCGGGCUUGAGGGCAGUAGAGGGUGGUGGAAUUCCGGGUGUAGUGGUGAAAUGCGUAGAUAUUGGGAAGAACACCGGUGGCGAAGGCGGAUAUCUGGCCCGUAAUUGACGCUGAGGCGCGAAAGCGUGGGGAGCAAACAGG